rnacentral:rRNA from 1 species
UACGGGGGGAGCAAGCGUUGUUCGGAAUUACUGGGCGUAAAGGGCUCGUAGGUGGCCAACUAAGUCAGACGUGAAAUCCCUCGGCUUAACCGGGGAACUGCGUCUGAUACUGGAUGGCUUGAGUUCGGGAGAGGGAUGCGGAAUUCCAGGUGUAGCGGUGAAAUGCGUAGAUAUCUGGAGGAACACCGGUGGCGAAGGCGGCAUCCUGGACCGAUACUGACGCUGAGGAGCGAAAGCCAGGGGAGCAAACGGG